rnacentral:rRNA from 1 species
GACGAACGCUGGCGGCGUGCUUAACACAUGCAAGUCGAACGGGAUCCGGGCUUUCGGGUUUGGUGAGAGUGGCGAACGGGUGAGUAACACGUGAGUAACCUGCCCCCUUCUUUGGGAUAACGUCGGGAAAUCGGCGCUAAUACUGGAUAUUCUUGCUGCAUCGCAUGGUGUGGUUUGGAAAGGGUUUCUGGUGGGGGAUGGGCUCGCGGCCUAUCAGCUUGUUGGUGGGGUGAUGGCCUACCAAGGCUUUGACGGGUAGCCGGCCUGAGAGGGUGUCCGGCCACACUGGGACUGAGACACGGCCCAGACUCCUACGCGAGGCAGCAGUGGGGAAUAUUACACAAUGGGCGCAAGCCUGAUGCAGCGACGCCGCGUGAGGGAUGACGGCCUUCGGGUUGUAAACCUCUUUCAGUAUGGAACAAGGAUCCUUCUUUUGGGGGGUUUGAGGGUACGUGCAGAAGAAGCGCCGGCUAACUACGUG